rnacentral:rRNA from 1 species
UGGGGAAUAUUGCGCAAUGGGCGGAAGCCUGACGCAGCGACGCCGCGUGAGGGAUGAAGGUCUUCGGAUUGUAAACCUCUUUCAGUAGGGACGAAUUAGGACGGUACCUGCAGAAGAAGCACCGGCCAACUACGUGCCAGCAGCCGCGGUAAUACGUAGGGUGCGAGCGUUGUCCGGAAUUAUUGGGCGUAAAGAGCUCGUAGGCGGUUCGUCGCGUCGAAUGUGAAAACCCGGGGCUCAACUCCGGGCCUGCAUUCGAUACGGGCGGACUAGAGUUCGGUAGGGGAGACUGGAAUUCCUGGUGUAGCGGUGAAAUGCGCAGAUAUCAGGAGGAACACCGGUGGCGAAGGCGGGUCUCUGGGCCGAUACUGACGCUGAGGAGCGAAAGCGUGGGGAGCGAACAGGAUUAGAUACCCCCGUAGUCC